rnacentral:tRNA from 1 species
GAGGGUCUAGCUAAGUGGUAGGGUGAGUGCUUAGCAUGCACAAGGUUCUGGGUUCAAUCCCCAGUACCUCUG